AUUGAACGCUGGCGGCAUGCUUUACACAUGCAAGUCGAACGGCAGCGCGGGGCAACCUGGCGGCGAGUGGCGAACGGGUGAGUAAUACAUCGGAACGUACCCAGAAGUGGGGGAUAACGUAGCGAAAGUUACGCUAAUACCGCAUACGUUCUACGGAAGAAAGUGGGGGACCUUCGGGCCUCAUGCUUUUGGAGCGGCCGAUGUCUGAUUAGCUAGUUGGUGAGGUAAAGGCUCACCAAGGCGACGAUCAGUAGCUGGUCUGAGAGGACGACCAGCCACACUGGGACUGAGACACGGCCCAGACUCCUACGGGAGGCAGCAGUGGGGAAUUUUGGACAAUGGGCGCAAGCCUGAUCCAGCAAUGCCGCGUGAGUGAAGAAGGCCUUCGGGUUGUAAAGCUCCUUUGUCAGGGAAGAAACGGCUGAGGAUAAUACCUUCGGCUAAUGACGGUACCUGAAGAAUAAGCACCGGCUAACUACGUG
rnacentral:rRNA from 1 species